rnacentral:rRNA from 1 species
UACGUAGGACCGAGCGUUGUCCGGAAUCAUUGGGCGUAAAGAGCGUGUAGGCGGCCACUUAAGUCCGCGUGAAAUCUUGCGGCUCAACCGCAAGCGGUCGUGGGAAACUGGGUGGCUAGAGUGCGGGAGAGGAGAGUGGAAUUCCUGGUGUAGCGGUGGAAUGCGCAGAUAUCAGGAGAACACCCGUGGCGAAGGCGGCUCUCUGGAACGCAACUGACGCUGAGACGCGAAAGCGUGGGGAGCAAACAGG